rfam:Nosema ceranae BRL01 Nc000195, whole genome shotgun sequence.
GGCAGUGUGGCCGAGUGGUUAAGGCGGUUGAUUCGAAAUCAAUUGAGGUUUCCUCACGCUGGUUCGAUUCCAGUCACUGUCG